rnacentral:tRNA from 1 species
GGAUUGUGGCUCAGAGGUAGAGUGCUUGCCUAGCAUGGGUGAGGCCCUGGGUUUGAUCCUCAGCACCA